UGAAACACUGGUUCCCAUAUGAUCACCUAAGUUAAGCAACAUCAAGCCUGGUCAGUACCUAGAUAGGUGAGUGGUUGGGAAUACCAGGUGCUGUAAG
rnacentral:rRNA from 1 species